CUAGCUCGGAGUCUGUUCAUUCU
rnacentral:piRNA from 1 species